rnacentral:rRNA from 1 species
AGAAUCAACGCUGGCGGCGUGCCUAACACAUGCAAGUCGAACGAGAAAGUGGAGCAAUCCACGAGUAAAGUGGCGCACGGGUGAGUAACACGUGACUAACCUACCCUUGAGUGGGGGGAUAACCUAGGGAAACCUGGGCUAAUACCGCAUAAUACCUACGGGUCAAAGGAGCAAUUCGCUUAAGCGAGGGGGUCGCGGCCGAUUAGUUAGUUGGCGGGGUAAUGGCCCACCAAGACGAUGAUCGGUAUCCGGCCUGAGAGGGCGCACGGACACACUGGAACUGAAACACGGUCCAGACUCCUACGGGAGGCAGCAGUGGGGAAUUUUGCGCAAUGGGGGAAACCCUGACGCAGCAACGCCGCGUGGAGGAUGAAGUCCCUAGGGAUGUAAACUCCUUUCGAUCGGGACGAUUAUGACGGUACCGGAAGAAGAAGCCCGGCUAACUUCGCGCCAGCAGCCGC